rnacentral:rRNA from 1 species
UACGUAGGGGGCGAGCGUUGUCCGGAUUUAUUGGGCGUAAAGAGCUCGUAGGCGGUUUGGCAAGUCGGGUGUGAAAACUCCGGGCUCAACUCGGAGACGCCACUCGAUACUGCCAUGACUCGAGUCCGGUAGGGGAGUGCGGAAUUCCUGGUGUAGCGGUGAAAUGCGCAGAUAUCAGGAGGAACACCGGUGGCGAAGGCGGCACUCUGGGCCGGUACUGACGCUGAGGGGCGAAAGCGUGGGGAGCGAACAGG